rnacentral:rRNA from 1 species
AGCUCCAAUAGCGUAUAUUAAAGUUGUUGCAGUUAAAAAGCUCGUAGUUGGAUUUCUGUGAGAGUGCCGGUGUCGGCUGAUGCUUGUACACUGGCGCUCUUACAUCCUUCUGUUAACCGUUCUUGGCAUUCAUUUGCUGGUUCGGGGCUCAGAUAUUUUACCUUGAGAAAAUUAGAGUGUUUCAGGCAGGCUUAUGCCGGAAUACAUUAGCAUGGAAUAAUGGAACAGGACCUGUGCGUCUCUCGGGGCGCCGGUCUCCGUUAUUGGUUUCGGGGACUAAAGUAAUGAUUAAUAGGGAUAGUUGGGGGCAUUAGUAUUUAAUAGUCAGAGGUGAAAUUCUCGGAUUUGUUAAAGACUAACUUAUGCGAAAGCAUUUGCCAAGGAUGUUUUCAUUAAUCAA